rnacentral:rRNA from 1 species
UGAGGAACAUGACCUUCGGCGGGGAUAGCCGGCCCAACGGCCGGGUAAUACCGCGUACGACCACAUGGGGACAUCCCUGAGUGGUGAAAGCAGCAAUGCGCCGAUGGAGUGCCUCGCGGCCUAUCAGCUAGUUGGUGUGGGUAAUGGCCCACCAAGGCGACGACGGGUAGCCGGCCUGAGAGGGUGACCGGCCACACUGGGACUGAGACACGGCCCAGACUCCGUACGGGGAGGNAGCG